GGCGGUAUGCUUAACACAUGCAAGUCGAACGGUAACAGGCCUUUGGGCGCUGACGAGUGGCGGACGGGUGAGUAACGCGUAGGAAUCUGCCUCAUAGUGGGGGACAACGUGGGGAAACUCACGCUAAUACCGCAUACGCCCUACGGGGGAAAGGAGGGGAUCUUCGGACCUUUCGCUAUGAGAUGAGCCUGCGUUAGAUUAGCUAGUUGGUAGGGUAAAGGCCUACCAAGGCGACGAUCUAUAGCUGGUCUGAGAGGACGAUCAGCCACACUGGGACUGAGACACGGCCCAGACUCCUACGGGAGGCAGCAGUGGGGAAUAUUGGACAAUGGGCGAAAGCCUGAUCCAGCAAUACCGCGUGUGUGAAGAAGGCCUUAGGGUUGUAAAGCACUUUCAAUUGGGAGGAAAACCUGCCGGCCAAUACCCGGUAGCUUGACAUUACCUUUAGAAGAAGCACCGGCUAACUCCGUGCCAGCAGCCGCGGUAAUACGGAGGGUGCGAGCGUUAAUCGGAAUUACUGGGCGUAAAGCGUGCGUAGGCGGUUCGUUAAGUCAGAUGUGAAAGCCCUGGGCUCAACCUGGGAACUGCAUUUGAAACUGGCGGACUAGAGUUUAGUAGAGGGGAGUGGAAUUUCAGGUGUAGCGGUGAAAUGCGUAGAUAUCUGAAGGAACACCAGUGGCGAAGGCGACUCCCUGGACUAGAACUGACGCUGAGGUACGAAAGCGUGGGUAGCAAACAGGAUUAGAUACCCUGGUAGUCCACGCCGUAAACGAUGUCGACUAGCCGUUGGCCCUAUUUACAGGGUUAGUGGCGCAGCUAACGCAUUAAGUCGACC
rnacentral:rRNA from 1 species